AUGGACCCCACCGACCAGUCGCCGGAGGAGGUGUACUCCGUGUGGGCCCUCCCGCCGGAGCCCGUCCGCGACCGCCUCCGCGGCCUCAUGGCCGGCCUCCGCGCCGCGCACGGCGGCCCGCCCUUCGAGCCGCACGCCACCGUCGUCGGCGCCGUGCGCAUGCGCCGCCCCGCCGCAAUCCAGGCCCUCCGCGCCGCCGCCGCCGCCGCCGGCGUCGCCCCCUACACCGCCCGCGUCACCGGCGUCGCCCGCGGCGACUUCUUCUACCAGUGCGUCUACCUCCUCCUCGAGCCCACCCCCGAGGUGAUCCAGACAAGCGACCACUUCUGCGCCCACUUCGGGUUUCAGAGAUCAACCCCAUAUAUGCCACAUGUAAGUCUCCUGUAUGGGGAUCUAACAGACGAAGAGAAGGAAGCAGCAAGGAAGAAAGUAGAGGAAAUGGGCAGUGAAAUUUCUGGACUGCAGUUUGAGAUCUCCGAGCUCGCACUUUAUCGAACGGAUACUGAGGAUAAAAGCUUGGAGUCCUGGGAACUGGUGGAGGUAUGCCACCUUGGGAAGAAGUGA
rnacentral:rRNA from 1 species